GGUUAACCGUAUAGGGGAGCCGUAGCGAAAGCGAGUCUUAACUGGGCGCUCAGUCUCUGGAUAUAGACCCGAAACCGGGUGAUCUAGCCAUGGGCAGGUUGAAGGUUGAGUAACAUCAACUGGAGGACCGAACCGACUAAUGUUGAAAAAUUAGCGGAUGACUUGUGGCUAGGGGUGAAAGGCCAAUCAAACUCGGAGAUAGCUGGUUCUCCCCGAAAGCUAUUUAGGUAGCGCCUCGGACGAAUACUACUGGGGGUAGAGCACUGUUAAGGCUAGGGGGUCAUCCCGACUUACCAACCCUUUGCAAACUCCGAAUACCAGUAAGUACUAUCCGGGAGACACACGGCGGGUGCUAACGUCCGUCGUGGAGAGGGAAACAACCCAGACCGCCAGCUAAGGUCCCAAAGUAUUGCUAAGUGGGAAACGAUGUGGGAAGGCUCAGACAGCUAGGAUGUUGGCUUAGAAGCAGCCAUCAUUUAAAGAAAGCGUAAUAGCUCACUAGUCGAGUCGGCCUGCGCGGAAGAUGUAACGGGGCUAAGCA
rnacentral:rRNA from 1 species